CACGUAGGGGGGCGAGCGUUGUCCGGAUUCAUUGGGCGUAAAGAGCUCGUAGGCGGCUCAGUAAGUCGGGUGUGAAACCCUCAGGCUCAACCCUGGGGACGCCACUCGAUACUGCUGUGGCUAGAGUCCAGUAGAGGAGUGUGGGAAUUCCCGGUGUAGCGGUGAAAUGCGCAGAUAUCGGGAGGAACACCAACGGCGAAGGCAGCACUCUGGGCUGGAACUGACGCUGAGGCGCGAAAGCGUGGGGAGCGAACAGG
rnacentral:rRNA from 1 species